CUAUUCUUUUAGUACAGUUUUAAUAUAAUAUAUAUCAUAAAAUAAUAAAUCAAGCUUUCUGAAACAUGGAUUCAGAUCCUCAUCUCUUCCCUCAUCCUCGGACCCCUGUGAACACGAUCACAGAGAUCUGCACUUCAGCACCCAGGGACACUGUCUGUUAUCCAAGGAUACAGAGCUGGAGGACUCAUCCGAAGAGAUGUGGGGGCUAUCUGAGGUGUGAGCUGUGAGCAUCAGAAAGGAACCAUCUCAAUCCAACGUGCAGAACUGUUGAGAAGCAGGACAAGCCCCUGUGAAGCUUUGCCUCCUCCUCAUCCUC
rnacentral:lncRNA from 1 species